AUGUAGCUUGCAUCGUCUAGUCUACUGAAGAUUGGCCAGGAGACGGACAAAACUACUACAAGGAACAGAGAAUCUGUGUACCUGCUACUCGACAUGAUUGUGCAGGAGUCUCCGUUCCUGACCAUGGAUCUCUUGGAGUCUUGUUUCCCUUACGUCCUGCUGAGAAACGCGUACCAUGCUGUCUACAAACAAAGCGUCACAUCCUCCGCCUGAGUAGCUACUUACUGGAGAUAAGACAUCUCCUUACUGGAGAUAAGACAUAGCACGCGUCUGUGUGGCCUCAGUUUUAUCUGUAAACUGUGGAGCUCUUUUACUUUAUGGCCUGAUGAACAGUUUUGUGGAUUAUAAACUUUUUCCAUAAAGUUGUAUUUCUGAUCAGUGGUUUCUUAAUAUGGUUGUACUACAAUAUAAGCUUGGUUGAUUUUAGGUUGCACAUUCAUGGAAAAUCUUUUUUUCUCAUUUCUUCCUUUUUUUUUUUUUACUUUAGAGCAUCAGUUAUGUUUAAAAAAUACUACUUCUGCUAUAUGUUUUUUGAUAUUGAUCAUGCAAAACAAAAAUUGCUUGUUUAUUUCCCAGAGGAAAAAUGUAUUUAGUGAUUAUUUUAGAUAGUGUAGCUUUCAUCUGUGUGUAAAUUAUUUCCUAUAGGGAGAGUUAUAAUCUUGUACCUAUUGUUCUUAUUGAAAACAAAUAUUGGAUGUGCAUUUCUGUGAAGUAAUUACAGCAUUACUAGUUUUAUUUUGAAACAUUCACCGACCUGCGUACUAUGACACUAUCUAACAUUAAAAAUGUUAUAGGACUGCUUAUCCUUCAGACAGCGAUCUUCUCCCGAUACUCUUCAACAACAGCAAGUGGUGUUGUUUGUAUAAAGCAUAGUGGAAAUUUUUUUUAAACUAACUUCUGUGGUGCCCUGUUGGCAUUAACACUACCAUUGUACCCUGCUGUAUAAUAAACAUUCUUACACAUUUAUCACAUGUUGAUAAAAUGUUAGCCCUUAACCACUUUUUAUAUGUUUUAAAUUUUUGAAAUUCAAGUGUACCUUCCAUAACAUACAAUAAACACUAGACUGUAUUAUCUGUAGGUGAAUUAUUUUUAAUAUAAAUGUUAUCCUAGUAUUUUAAGCUUAAACUGUGCUGUUGUGCAUUGAUUUACAUCUCACAGUUCAUUAAAUAUCAAUCCUU